rnacentral:rRNA from 1 species
CCCCCUGUCGUGCCUUGCUCCCACGACUGGUCUGCUUUAACACCAUGCAAGUCGAACGGAGUAGAAAUACUUAGUGGCGACCGGGUGAGUAACGCGUGAGAAUCUGCCUUCAGACGGAUAACCCCCGGGGUGCCCGCAUGGCACCCCGGCUAAAGCCCCGACGGAGGGAUGGCUCCGACGGCCCAUCAGGUAGACGGCCGGGUGACGGGCCACCGUGCCGACAACGGGUAGACCGGGUUGACGAGACCGACCGGCCAGAUUUCGGGAACUGAGUACACGGACCCAGACUCCGUACGGGAGCAGCAGUGGGGAAUCGUUUGCGUCAAUGGGGGAACCCUGACGACAGCGACGCCGCGUGCGGACGGAGGCCGUUCGGGUCGUAAACCGCUUUCAGCAGGGAAGAGUACAAGACUGUACCUGCAGUAAGAAGCCCGGCUAACGUACGUGCCAGCAGCCGACGGUAAUACGUAGGGGACGAGCGUUUAUCCGGAUUCAUUGGGCGUAAAGCGCGCGUAGGCGGCCCGGACAGGCCGGGGUCGAAGCGGGGGCUACCAACCCCCGAACGACCCCGGAACCUCCGACGGCUUGGGUCCGGUA